rnacentral:rRNA from 1 species
CAAAGGCUUGGUCCCGGCCUUACUAUCAAUUAUUACCUAACUUACACAUGCAAGUAUCCACACACCAGUGAAAACCCCCAACAAACCAACAGGAAUAAGGAGCUGGUAUCAGGCAAGAGCCUACAACGCCUAGCCACGCCACACCCACACGGGCCUCAGCAGUGAUAAAUAUUGACCAUGAGCAACCACUCGAACCAGUUAAAGUAAAUAGAGCCGGCAAACCACUGUGCCAGCCGCCGCGGUUACACUACUGACUCAAAUUGAUAGCAUCGGCGUUAAGAGUGACUAAAGCACUAAAAAUUAGAACCGAACACUUACCAAGCUGUGACACGCUUGUUCCAAGAACCCCUAAACGAAAGUCCCUCUAAUACAACCGCUUGACGCACGAUAGCUGAGAAACAAACUAGGAUUAGAUACCCUACUAUGCCCGGCCGUAAAACAUUAAUUCACACCACCAUCCGCCAGAGAAAUACAAGCCCAGCUUGAAACUCAAAGGACUUGACGGUGUCCCACCCACCUAGAGGAGCCUGUUCUAUAAUCGAUAAUCCCCGAUUCACCUGACCUUUUCUAGCCACCAGCCUGUUUCAGUCUGUUUCAGUCUGUUUCAGUCUGUUUCAGUCUGUUUCAGUCUGUUUCAGUCCUCAGUCUGUUCAGCCUGUAUACCUCCGUCGCAAGUUAACCCCAUGAGGGCCUAGUAGACUAAACAACCUCACACUAACACGACAGGUCAAGGUGCAGCCCAUGAAAAGGUAAGCAAUUGGCUACAAUCUCUCUCAGAACAAACAGAAUCCUGUAUGAAACCCAGUAUAAAGGAGGAUUUAGCAGUAAAAAGAAACUAGAACGUUCUUUUUAACAAGGCAAUGGGACGCGUACACACCGCCCGUCGUCCUCUUCCAACACCCCCCCCCCCCAAAAAUAUGCCAAACAAAGCAACAGAAGAGGCAAGUCGUAACACGGUAAGUGUACCGGAAGGUGCACUUGGCUAACG